rnacentral:lncRNA from 1 species
AACUAAAAGUAAAUUCCUCCAGUUGACUCUAUCAAACCUAGGGAGCAUACCAAUAUACAUUUUCUGGAUUUGAAAUUUGUCGAGGCAACAUACAGCCUUGAACCUGUCAGCAAGUGAACCUUGCAGCUGCUGGUUUGCCAUAAGAUCAUCUCUGCAUUGUAUGAUUUUCCUGAUGACCCAGGCAGCUUGCUUGGGUGCAUUUACUGUGCCA